AUAAAAAACAAAACAAAAAAAUGUCAAAAAAAACAAAACAAACUAAGAAUAAUGCAAAAUAGAUUAAACUAUUCCAAAUGCAGAGCAUAUUGGCAACAUCAACUACAGUUCUUUAUAAGACGCCGUCUAUUUUGGUGCUUUUCCUCACAAACAUUUUUUUUUGUAAUUUUUAGUGGCUGACAAAUUAGGUUCAAAAAUGUUUUGAAUAUGAGAGUUUUGUAUUGACACUUUUUUUUAAGUUUGCUGAAUAGAAUGGUAAAAAACAAUCUCAUCAAAUUACAUUUGCUGUCCACGAAAAAUGUUUGUAAGGCACUGGAAUUUGAUUUCAAUAAUUCAUUGUUUGUUUUGCUCUUCUGUGAAAAGUGCCAUUCAUAGACAGUGUAUAAGAACUGGACAUGGUUUAUGUACAGAGGGUCUGAGCACAAAUAAACUGGGCCAAUGAGCAUCCAGCCGUUGACAAUGACGAAUUCAGCUCUGUGGUCAUUUUUGACAUACAGUGUUUUUCCUAGGACAGUUAGGGCAUCACCUCCGUCACUUGGUACAGCAGGCCUCACUUGGCUAAUUUCCUCUCAUUUUAAACACGAUAUAAAAAUAAAAAUAACGAUUGACACCAUAUGUAUUAACAAGUAUCCCUAAAUCUAUGCUAUAGAAUCUAUAGGUUUUACUUCAGUUACUUCUAAUACUUCAAAAAUGUAGUUCUUACUUCCAGAGCUUUACUUUUGCAACCCAAUGACUUUGUCCAUUUAUUUAUGCACUGUCUAUGGCGCCAUUUUAAAAAAUAUUAAUUUAAUACCAAUUCAUUUGUGAUUAUCAAAAGGCACAGGUUGAGUUCAAUGUAAUUUGUUUGGUAGAAAUUUAACAAACUGAUAAAGAACUGUAUGCUCUACAGACCUCUAAACCGAAGGGUCUCUUAAAGGUUCCAAUCGCAAUGCCACUUAUUUUAUUGUGUCUGUAUCUCCAUUUAAUGUUUGUCCCCAUCACCAUCCGUUCUCUGUCUCUAGUCAUUCAAUUGAGAAAAAAAAAAAAAAAA